GUCACUUAAAAGGGUUGUAACUCUCCUGUUUUAUUAGGAACAGCUGGCAGAUAUAUCAGAGCCAUCAAUGGGAUUAUUGCUUUGAAGCAGAUGUUAAACAGAAUGGGGCAAUAACAGCUGUUGCAAUUAGAGGCAUUGUGGGCACAUUUCUGCACAUAUCUGUCUCAACAUGACAAUGAUCCAACCAAAGACCAUUUCAGAUGAGAAAAUAUUUUUAGCCAUGAGUCAAACCCACUAUGGAAGUCCCCGAGACUGUCAAAAAGACCGUGGUCUGAAGUGGUCAUGAAAGAAGUAUCACAGUGGAUUCACACCCUUCCAGUGAGGUUUGCACAGAGGUCAAGUUAAGAGGCUGUGAAAAUUUCUUUGGGAUUGUGAAGACUGGAGAAGCAUCAAACAAUUUUGACUAAAGAACCAGCAUUUUUAAUGGUCUAUUUACAGUGAAAGAAAUGAAGUGAGUGAUGUAUUAGAUCAUAAAUGUUGUGUUUCUGAUCUG